CAGCCGCCGCGGGAAUACGUAGGUGGCAAGCGUUGUCCGGAAUUAUUGGGCGUAAAGGGCUCGCAGGCGGUUUCUUAAGUCUGAUGUGAAAGCCCCCGGCUCAACCGGGGAGGGUCAUUGGAAACUGGGAAACUUGAGUGCAGAAGAGGAGAGUGGAAUUCCACGUGUAGCGGUGAAAUGCGUAGAGAUGUGGAGGAACACCAGUGGCGGAGGCGACUCUCUGGUCUGUAACUGACGCUGAGGAGCGAAAGCGUGGGGAGCGAACAGGAUUAGAGACCCCUGUAGUCCCUGUCUCUUAUAC
rnacentral:rRNA from 1 species